rnacentral:misc_RNA from 1 species
GAUGAAGAACGUAGCGAAAUGCGAUAAGUAGUGUGAAUUGCAGAAUUCAGUGAAUCAUCGAAUCUUUGAACGCGCAUUGCGCCCUUUGGUAUUCCUUAGGGCAUGCCUGUUCGAGCGUCAUUUAAACCUUCAAGCUAAGCUUGGUGUUGGGUGACUGUCCGCUUCACGGCGGACUCGCCUCAAAAUUAUUGGCGGCCGGUACAUUGGCUUCGAGCGCAGCAGAAACGCGAACUCGGGCCCGUCGUAUUGGCUCCCAGAAGCUAUCUUCACAAUUUUGACCUCGGAUCAGGUAGGGAUACCCGCUGAACUUAAGCAUAUCAAUAAGCGGAGGA